CCUCACCAAGACCUCAAUCUAAUUUCCUUUUUAUUUUCUCUUUUUAACUUAAAUUUUUUCUCGGAAAAUUUCAAUGUGUUUCCAAUCAAGAACAAGCAUCUGUCGCUAUGAUUUCCUCUGUUAAGCUAAUAGCACGGGAAACACGAAAGAGAUGCAAAAUCAAAUUCAAAAACACAGGGUACCUCUGGACAUGCAGAUUCCAAGUUUCCUGUGGAUUCUUGCUUUUUCUCGUAGCCUCCCCGCAUAUGAAUGUCCCUUAAGGUGCUCCACAGGUGGAUAGUUAUGUAAUCCGCAUACUACGGUCAAUGUCCAUUCAUCAUUUGUGGUAAACCUGUGAGCCCUCUUAUCAAAAGGACAACCACAUUUCUUCAUAUCAGUUAUUCUUGAUGUAUUGUUGUCAUCAUGUUUUAACUUCUUUGUCGCUCUAUAUUAGCCACUCCUCUCACAAGCAAAAUGCAUCCUGGAUCUUUUUUUCAUUCCACCAUAGUCUGAUGUUUUGAUUACAAUGACCAAACCAUUUCUCUUUCUAACUUCACGUACCCAGUUGAGCAUUUCAUCCUUACUUUUGAAUACCUACAAAGUCAAAUAAAUAUUAUAAAACAUUUACAUUUGUUGAGCAAUUCAAAACACAAUCAUUUUAAUUUCGUGAAGUGAACCUGCUUAGUUGUAAAUUGAAUAGUGUAAUCCAACACACUAUCCGCACAAACUUGACUUCCUUAAGUUGAGACAUAUUCCUACAUGUUUUUGUAUAACAUUAUAAAUUUGAAAUGGUACUAUAAAGACAAUUUUGCAAUUUGAAAUUGCAAAUUUAGUAUGCAAUUUACGAAUUUGGAAUAUAAAAUGGAAAAAAAAAAUUAUUUCAUUCAGAAGUACAAUAUCGAAAAAAAUGAUAAUGUUCGAAUGUAGUUUUCCAAAUUAUUUUUACCAGUUUAGAAGUUGAAUGUCGAAAAAUUUAAAUUAUUUCAGACGACAAUUUCUGAAAUUACAUAAUUAUUUCGGUAGUAGACUACUGAAUAAAUUGAUAUAUUUCAAUCCUGGUUAUCCAAAAGAUGCCGGGGGGAAAAAAAAAAUCGACUUUCACAUAACAAAACUCACUUUUCCUUAGCCAUCUUUCUCAUAAACAUUUAUCUGCUUCUGAAAAUCUAAAUUUUUUGAAGGGAAAUCUUCCAUAACAAUGAUGAAUAAUGAUGAUGUUUAAUGUGUAAACUAAUUAAAAGCUAAGAAUAAAAAAUAAGGGGGUUUAGUGUGUGUAAACUAAUGAAUGAAAGCUAACAAUGAAGGAUUUGAAAGGAUGAGGAUGGAAUGUGGAGGUUUAGCAAACUGAGUAUGGAAGUCAGUCUCAGUAGCUUCAACGUGGAAAUGGAUGUGGAUGUGCAUUGAGAAUGUGUGUUUAUUUGAAUUUUGUGUGAUGUCCAUAAUAGUAAUUUCACUUAAGAUAAAAUUAUAAUAAAAAUAAAUAUCAUUAAGUUUGUACAAAAAGUGGAAAGGGUAUGAACAAAUAGAAGCUCCCCCAACUCUGCUAGCAAUAUUAAUAAAAGGUCUAUAUUACCCUAAUUUUUUUUCUCAAAUUUUCUUUUGUGUCACAACUUCAAAACCAGUGUUGCCAUUUUCCUUCUUUUUUUCCUUUAUGCUUUCUUCACAUGCUUUCUUCACCUGUAACCUCAUGGCCAUCACUUAUUUUUAGCUAAAUGAUUCAAUCCAAAAAGGAUUUUUCCGAAGUAAACACCCAUUGCGUCCAUGUUUGUUAUUUUUUCUUCUUGAAAUAGAACUUCAUCAAAAGCAACAUUAGGAGAAAGUCCCGUCCAUCAUCCGAUACUUGAACAAAAUUCAAGCCAGGUUGCAUAUCAUAAUCAAAAAGUUUUUCAAAUUAAAACCACAGCCACACGCAUAUACUCUUAAAUAUAUAUAUAUAUAUAUAUAUAAUUGAAGCCACCAACAAUUUAUGUUCUUUUCCUUCUUUUUUCUUCCCCGUCAGGAAGACCACACACACCGAUGGUUGACUGUUGCUAACUUGCUAUACAGUAAUGAAGGGAAAUUUUCAAGAAGGUUUUGGUGCCAUCCUUGCUUUCCUUUAUUACACACGACACAUGAUAUCAUUUUGUCCACCACACCCAUCAAUCAGUGUCAGAAGAAUCACUUGAGCUGGUUGUAUUGCAUUUUCAACCCUGCUAAAUACCCCCAGCGGGGGGUUCGCACCCUAGUGAGGUGGCGCGCCCCCACUGGCUGACAACUAAAAAAAAAAAUAGUUUUUUUUCACCCAAUCACGGGCCUCCACCUCACUGGGGGUCGACCCCCAGUGGGGGUAUAAAGCAUUUUUGAUUGCAUUUUAGUUUAAGAUUAACCUUGUCGUUUGGAUGGUGAGGGUAGACAUAUCUUGAUCUCUUAGAUAUAGUUUAAUCAAUAAUCUAAGGUCAUGUUUGAUUCACAAGAUUAAUAGUGAAGUAUUAAUAAUCCUAUUAAAUUAGUGUGGUAUUCAUUAUCCAAUUGGAUUAAUAUCCAUUAGAUUAAUAAUCUCACCCCUACCACAUUACUAAUAAUCCUACAAAUUUGUUGGAAUAAUUAUCUAUUGAAUUAAUAAUCCAAAACCAAAAUGUUAAAACAAACAUAGGAUAAUUGAGUCCACGGAUUAAUAAUCUCAAUUUCAUGCUCUAAUCCACCCAAUCAAACAUGCCAUAAGGGUGUUUAUCUUUUUGGUAAAAGAAAGAAUUUUGUUCUCGUUUGGUUUCCUUAUCAAAAACCAUUUUUGAGAUUUUUCUUUUAUGUAUUUUUUUGUGUUUAGCAAACUGUUUUCAUAUUUUAGUCAAAAUAUUUUUCAUUUUUUGAUGUACAUAAAAAGUAAGGUAUUUAUGAAGAAAAUAUGAAAAAAAAUUACUAAAGAUAAAAAUAAAUAAAUAAAUAAAUAAACACAUUAGAAAGUUAAAAAAAAAAAAUUAAAACAUGAAAAUAGUACAUUAAAGAUAAGAACAAGAAAAAUCUAAAUAAAACUUAUAAAUCGUUUUAAAACAUUAAACCAAACAUAAUUGUUUGGAUAAUGUUGGAGAAAAAGGAAAUAAUGUACCAAUUUUGUUUAGGAAUGGCAACGGGGCGGGGCCGGGGACCACCCUCCCCGUCCCCGAUCCCCGAUGGCCAAAAUUUCCCCGUCUCCGGCCCCGAUCCCCGACGGGGAACCUGUCACAGUCCCCAUCCCCGUCCCCAACGGGGAUCGGGUUUCCCCGACCCCGAAAAGUCCCCGAUCCAACUCUGUUUUCAACAUUCAACACCAUCAACAGAUAAAAAAAAAAAAAAAAGAAUAACAGAUCAUCAAAAAAAACAGAUCUGUUUUUCAACAUUCAACAUCAUCAACA